rnacentral:rRNA from 1 species
CCGGACCUGACUGCUAUCGGAUUGGUACUAAGCCAUGCGAGUCGUUGUAGCAAUACAAGGCGGACGGCUCAGUAACACGUAGUCAACCUAACCUAUGGACGUGGAUAACCUCGGGAAACUGAGAAUAAAACACGAUAGAUCAUAAUGCCUGGAAUGGCUUAUGGUUCAAACAAUUUAUUGCCAUAGGAUGGGACUGCGGCCUAUCAGCUUGUUGGUGAGGUAAUGGCCCACCAAGGCUAUAACAGGUACGGGCUCUGAGAGGAGAAGCCCGGAGAUGGGUACUGAGACACGGACCCAGGCCCUAUGGGGCGCAGCAGGCGAGAAACCUUAGCAAUGUGCGAAAGCACGACUAGGUUAAUCCGAGUGGUUCCUGCUAAAGGAACCUUUUGUCAGUCGUAAAACCACAGAUGAAUAAGGGGUGGGCAAGUCUGGUGUCAGCCGCCGCGGUAAUACCAGCACCUCGAGUGGUCAGGAGGUUUAUUGGGCCUAAAGCAUCCGUAGCCGGCUUUGCAAGUCUCCGGUUAAAUCCAACUGCUCAACAGAUGGGCCGCCGGAGAUACUACAAAGCUAGGGAGCGGGAGAGGUAGACGGUAUUCUGUGGGUAGGGGUAAAAUCCACUGAUCCAUAGAGGACCACCAGUGGCGAAGGCGGUCUACCAGAACGCGUUCGACGGUGAGGGAUGAAAGCUGGGGGAGCAAACCGGAUUAGAUACCCGGGUAGUCCCAGCUGUAAACGAUGCAAACUCGGUGAUGCGUCGGCUUAUGGCCAACGCAGUGCCGCAGGGAAGCCGUUAAGUUUGCCGCCUGGGAAGUACGGACGCAAGUCUGAAACUUAAAGGAAUUGGCGGGGGAGCACCACAAGGGGUGAAGCCUGCGGUUCAAUUGGAGUCAACGCCGGG